GAGUGCUGGGAUUAAAGGUUUGGG
rnacentral:piRNA from 1 species